ACGGGUGAGUAAUGUCUGGGGAUCUGCCCGAUAGAGGGGGAUAACCACUGGAAACGGUGGCUAAUACCGCAUAACGUCGCAAGACCAAAGAGGGGGACCUUCGGGCCUCUCACUAUCGGAUGAACCCAGAUGGGAUUAGCUAGUAGGCGGGGUAACGGCCCACCUAGGCGACGAUCCCUAGCUGGUCUGAGAGGAUGACCAGCCACACUGGAACUGAGACACGGUCCAGACUCCUACGGGAGGCAGCAGUGGGGAAUAUUGCACAAUGGGCGCAAGCCUGAUGCAGCCAUGCCGCGUGUAUGAAGAAGGCCUUCGGGUUGUAAAGUACUUUCAGCGGGGAGGAAGGCGAUAAGGUUAAUAACCUUGUCGAUUGACGUUACCCGCAGAAGAAGCACCGGCUAACUCCGUGCCAGCAGCCGCGGUAAUACGGAGGGUGCAAGCGUUAAUCGGAAUUACUGGGCGUAAAGCGCACGCAGGCGGUCUGUUAAGUCAGAUGUGAAAUCCCCGGGCUUAACCUGGGAACUGCAUUUGAAACUGGCAGGCUUGAGUCUCGUAGAGGGGGGUAGAAUUCCAGGUGUA
rnacentral:rRNA from 1 species